CCACUUGGAUUGUUGAAAAAGUAUGAUUUUCACUCAUUGAAGUAAAGUAUUAACAAUGGGAACAGCACCUCCUUGUGGAGAAUCAUCAGCCAGGUUAGCAUUUGCCAGCAGCACUAAAUGAAUGAAUGAAUAAAUUCUGUUCCCAGGAUAUGUGUCAUGGAGAGAUACGCUCACAGGGUCUUGGUACGUGGAGACGCUGGAUCGCGUCCUGGAGGAGAAUGCUGCCACUGAUGACCUCGUCACUAUGUUAAUGAUGGUGAACAAUGAAGUGUCUCAGAUAUCCGCUAAAGGCCUCUACAAACAGAUGCCUGGGUCCUUCAACUUCCUUCGCAAACAUCUCUACUUUCAAGCGCCGGCCACAUAAGAUGCUGAAGUUGAAACAAGACAACACAAGACACUGAUUUACAAUGAUAGAAUUUUAAAAUUAUUGGAAGACAGCAGAAUCAACAUGCAGGGAUGUGGGUUACUUUUUAGUAUGUGGCUAAUCAAUGUACAAUAAAGACAGGAUCACUGUCUGUAGAGGCACCUGCCAUUGUGGUUUGGACCAAAAAAAGGACAGGAUUAGUUUCUCAGGGGGUCUUGAGGUAAUUUUCUCUUUUACGGGGGAGUCUCUGUGAUUUUAUUCCCGUCCAGAACAACCAUGUAUGUGUUUUGCUACUACUGUGUUUCGCUGAACUCCGUGGUCCUCCGGUAAUUUUAGUUCUGUCCGGAUGGACACAUCUGAGUUUCGUCACCUCACGUUUAAUAAAACAGCUAUUUGUCCACUGCCGCACACUGUAAUACACUUUGGGCACAUGUUUCCACGGAGAUCUACGUCAAAAACACAACAGCGAGUGGAAAUGGAGGAGCUACUGAGCGCUGCAAUGUCAUGUGACCGAGAAAGCCUAAAAACAGUCCAGAUGCAGGAGUUUUAUCACUGAAUAGACGUGUGAAAUAUUUUACACAGACGUCCCCCUGAGAAACUAAUCCCGACCAGAUAGGGCUUAAGUGUAUACGAUGUACCAAAAUCAUUAACCUUGGUUCAAACUUUGGUCUAGACUUUAAGGUGUGUAUGAAUUAUCAGUGUGUCAGUGAUUUUUUUUUUGAUAGUUUUGAGAAAAACUGAAAACUUGAGAAAAUGAUAGCCAUUUAAGAUGAUGUACUUCAAUUCAAAUUAAACUGUGACUGUGGGUUUAGAAACGUGUGAAUUGUGUUGUGUUUUGAGACUCUUUUCUUGGGUGUUGAGGGGGUGGCUGAUUUUUCACACUUACCAGCUCCUCAUUAGAAGCAAUGCUGGCGCUGCCAGUCCUUGGCAUUCAUGCUUGGCGCUAAUGCCGUGGCUCAAACUGUGUAAGUGCAAG
rnacentral:lncRNA from 1 species